AUCUCGUUGAGGUCUCCCUCCAUCUUCUUUUUAAUCCUGAGGGCUUCAUUUCUGCUGCGAGUCUCAGACUCCAGAGAGCUCUGCAGAGUGUCCACCACUCUCUGCUGGUUCCUCUUGGCCUGCUCCAUCUCCUCAUCCUUCUCAGCCAACUUACGCUCAAUAUCAGCCUUCACCUGGUUGAACUCCAGCUGAGCUCGCAAGAUCUUUCCUUCCUCAUGCUCAAGGGAGGCCUAUUAGAUCACAGACAAGAGAACCAAAACAGUGGUUGACUUACAUUUUUUAAACACCAUUAUUGAGAUUUCAGCAGAGUAAUACUGUACCUCAGCCUCUUCAAGAGCAGUCUGAAUCUCAGCCUUUUCCUGCUCCAGCUGUUUUCUAAUUUUCUCCAGUUCAUGAAUACUUUUGCCACUCUCACCAAUUUGCUCAGUAAGGUCAGAAAUUUCCUCUGUUUGUCAGAAAAAAGUAAUUAGUGCAUAAUAAGUUCCCCACCACUGUUUUAGACCAUUUAAACCAACAUGGAUACCUUGGAGGUUCUUGUUCUCUCUCUUCAUGGUCUCCAGGUGAUCAAGGGAUUCCUCAUACGAAUUCUUCAGUUUGAAGAGUUCAGUACUAAGAGAUCUGGCCUCCUUUUGGGAGCUCUCCAGCUCAGUCUGAGACUCUUCAUACUUCUGCUUCCAUUCAGCAAGGAUCUGUGAGGUUCAACAAAACCAUAUUUAUGUUUAGUGACUUUUAAACAAAAGGGCACCUUUACCACUUGUGCCUUGUUGAUUCCGAAAAAUAUGAUCUUAUCACCUUGUCAAAGUUCCUUUGCUUCUUGUCCAGAGCAGCAGCAGCAGCGUUGGAUCUUUCCACAUCAACCAUAAGAUCCUCAAUCUCAUUCUGUAGCCUGUGCUUGGUCUUCUCUAGAGAGGAGCAUUUAGCAUUGAUGGCUUCCACAGCUUCUUCUGCAUCUUGCAGACGUUGAGCCAGCUUCUUCCUGUGUGGCAGAGCAGUAAAAGUACAUAUUAAGGAUGUUUUCUUUUAAGGUGUAGUGAUGAUUAAAUAUCUGAUAAUCACAAUACUGAUUUCUUACUUUGCAUCCUCCAGCUCUUCUGUCCUCUGGAUGGCAUCAGUUUCAUACUUGGUCCUCCACUGAGCCACCUCAGAGUUGGCCUUGGAGAGACUGCGUUGCAGCUCAGCCUUGGCCUCCUGUUCCUCUUCAUACUGCUCUCUCAGCAACUCUGAGUCAUGGCGGGCAGACUGCACUGCAUGGGCCAGGGCAUUCUUAGCCUGGAGGAAGAUGCUGGUUAAAAAUCUGAUCUGUUGACCUGCUGGAUCGUUGUGAAAAGUCAAAUUACAAACUGUUGAAAUACCUUUACUUCCUCUUCUAGUUGCCUCUUGAGAUCCUCAAUCUGUUGGGUGUAAGACUGCUUUCCUCUGGUCAGCUGAGAGACCAGGGAAUCCUUCUCCUCCAGCUGUCUUGAAAGUUCACCUUGAUUGGAGAUGAAUUACAGUGAUAUUUCAGUUGUUUGUAGGUUUUGUAUUUAUGGUUUGCACCUACCACAUUUAAUUGAAGCCCUUACCAUUCUCAGUUUGUAGUUUAGCUUUUUGCAUGCUGAAGUCAUUGAUGCUGCGCUGUCCUUCCUCAUAUUUCGUCCUGUACUCACUCAUCUGGUCCUCAAGUGUCCUGCACAUUUUUUCCAGGUUUGUCUAGAACAUAGACAAUCAAUUAUAAGUUAAACAGUAAUUACUUAAAAACCUUUAUAAAACACUGAAGACAUUUAAACAAUAAAUAUGCUUACCUUAGACUUCACAAUCUGCUCCAUGUUGGAGACCACAUCAUCCAGCUCCAGUCUCAGUUCACUCUUCUCUUUUUCCAGCUUCUGCUUCACUCUCUGAAGGUUAUCAAUCUGUUCUCCUAGGUCAGCCACGCUGUCAGCAUGUUUCUUCCUCAGUGUAGCAGCAGUUG